UUGGAGACUAGUAUAAACGGUUUAAUUAAUUUAGUUAAUUUGUAAUUUUUAAUAUUAAAGCAAGCUUAAAGUAAAAACUCUUUAAUAAGUUAAGGGACGAUAAGACCCUAAAAGCUUUAUAAUUAGUAUUUGAUUAUUUUAAUAAAUAGUAUUAAUUCACUGGGGCAGUGAUUUUGUGUAUAUCGGAAUAAAAUUAAAGGAUCCUUAAAAUAAAGAUUUUAUGUGUAAGUUACUUUAGGGAUAACAGUGCGAUAUAUUUGAAGAGACCGUAUCUAUAAAUAUGAUUGCAACCUCGAUGUUGAAUUAGAAUUUCUAUAUGAGCAGAAUAUAUGCGAGAAAGUUUGUUCAACUUUUAAAUUUCUACAUGAUCUGAGUUCAAACCGG
rnacentral:rRNA from 1 species